UCGGAAUUGCUAGUAAUCGCGGAUCAGCAUGCCGCGGUGAAUACGUUCCCGGGCCUUGUACACACCGCCCGUCACACCAUGGGAGCCGGUAAUACCCGAAGUCAGUAGUCCAACCACGUGAGGACGCUGCCGAAGGUAGGAUUGGCGACUGGGGUGAAGUCGUAACAAGGUAUC
rnacentral:rRNA from 1 species